GAUGAACGCUGGCGGCGUGCCUAAUACGUGCAAGUCGAGCGAACAGACGAGGAGCUUGCUCCUCUGACGUUAGCGGCGGACGGGUGAGUAACACGUGGAUAACCUACCUAUAAGACUGGGAUAACUUCGGGAAACCGGAGCUAAUACCGGAUAAUAUAUUGAACCGCAUGGUUCAAUAGUGAAAGACGGUUUUGCUGUCACUUAUAGAUGGAUCCGCGCCGCAUUAGCUAGUUGGUAAGGUAACGGCUUACCAAGGCAACGAUGCGUAGCCGACCUGAGAGGGUGAUCGGCCACACUGGAACUGAGACACGGUCCAGACUCCUACGGGAGGCAGCAGUAGGGAAUCUUCCGCAAUGGGCGAAAGCCUGACGGAGCAACGCCGCGUGAGUGAUGAAGGUCUUCGGAUCGUAAAACUCUGUUAUUAGGGAAGAACAAAUGUGUAAGUAACUAUGCACGUCUUGACGGUACCUAAUCAGAAAGCCACGGCUAACUACGCG
rnacentral:rRNA from 1 species